rnacentral:lncRNA from 1 species
AGAAUGAUUCGAAAUGGAGGCAGAGGGAGCCAAGCCUGUAUUCACUCAGCCUUGCAAAGAGGAAACUUCAUUUGAAACAUACAUAACUUCCUCUGUGCCAGCUACUCAUUCCUUUUGUUUUCAACCAGCUAGCAGAUCAAAAGAAUUAAGGAGAUUAAAAAGCAGAGUGACUCAGUGACUUCAUACAUCAAAACAGGAAAGUGUUGAAUGAAACCAUUUCUAGGCAAAGUGACUACACAGAGAAGGACCAUAAAAGGCAGCUCAAGGGGAGGAAACACCUCAAGCUUGUUCCCCCUCCCCCCACCUUCUCACAUAAAAUGCAAAACCAGAUACAUGUCAGAAGAAAAACCCAGAAUAGAUGCAAAUCAAAUCCACUUAAGUUCAGAGGUCUGCAGAAUCUCGCUGGGGCAGAGGGUGUUGAGAAGGUGCAUUGCUGGCAGAUUUCCUGUCCCUUUAAAGUCUUGUGGUCUGCGCAGUCGCCUUGAUGCCUGGCUCGCCUGCCUGGAGGAGGAAAGGUCCCUAAGUGUGCUGCUGCCUUCCUGCCCCAGAAUCCUUCAUCUGGCCUGGAGUCAGGAUUUGCCAGUUACUACAACUUCCUGAGUGUUGGCCUGCCCUCCCUUUGCUUUGACUUCUAGGAACUUUGACCCAG